rfam:Diplodia corticola strain CBS 112549 scaffold2, whole genome shotgun sequence.
GCUUCUAUGGCUCAGUUGGUAGAGCGCGGCACUAGUAAUGCCGAGGUCCUGAGUUCAAAUCUCAGUGGAAGCA